AUUUUUUUUCUUAUCAUCAUUAGUCGGGUGCCUCUCUCACCUCUCCCCCGCACGAGCGAACAGACCCAGCCGCCGCCGACGGCUCCGCCCUCUCCCUCGAUCUCCGUCGUGCGUUGUUGCUACACCCCUGACGCUGGAUCCGUGGAGGAGAGGGAGGAAACGCCGUUGUCUCCUGCCGUUGCCGCCGCCCGACGGAACGCCUCCGCUUCGCCCAUCUUCCUGGCGGCCACCAUCUUCUGGAUUGCGCCACUUCCAUGCUCCCUCCAACGCUGUCUUCCAGCCCACUACGCCGCCGCCGUCCAACAUGAUGCCUCCACUCCGUCCUAUCUUAUAGGCGACUGCCCUAAUCACCGGGGCGUCAUCCAUUUGCCAUCAGCCCAAUGCUUCAGGGACUCCUCGUACCGAAGGCCUGCAAAUACCGAACGACAACUAAACGUCGAACUCGAACGGUGAUGCGGGCGUCCGAUAAGCAGAAGCAGCAUUAGGCAGAGACAUGCCUGGCUGUGUGCAGCAGCCGGCAAGAGGACACAGGGGCAUCGGCAUGCGCACCACACAAGCUGGUGAAGAUUCUUACAAUUCAGAAUCGUUAUACUGAACUGGUUAAUGGGUUCGCUCCAACAGAUGAAUAAACCUAUGAGAAGGUGUGCUAAUUUAUUUUUUGUGAUUUAGUACUAUAUUGGCAUGCUAUAUUUUGUUUGUGCAGAAAAAUUGUAUCAAUUGGACCACUCGGUUUAAAAUCUUGGCUACGCCACUCGCGUCUGGUCCUCUUGACAUGCCGGCCUUGAUAAGUACACGGAUACCACACCGAGGCCAAAGUUCACAAGGUAUGCAACAGCUGCACUCGAUAAUAAAAAGCAUAAGAUGAAUUUUAUGUUAGGUACGGACACAUCCAACUUUUACCAAGCAUAGUCCGUGUUAAGCGAAGUACAUUAUCUCGCGGCUGUGUGAUGUGCAGAUAUAGGAAUUAGACCUUUCUUCACAGGAGCUGUAUUCAUUAUUUAUCAAGUAAACCGUAUUUUAUAGCAGAUCAAAUAGGCCUUUCCUAGCAAUUCUAUUCAUAAAGAUGUUUGAUGUCUUGCUUGAUACUCGUGUUGCAGUUUGUGAGGAACUACGAAAAUUCUUUACUCUUUAUACACAAUUUUUUUCCACAUAUCCAUUGGCCAAAGAAGUGCCCAUGAAGAUCAGGUAUAUUAUAGUGUCUGCAGAUCUCAGAAUACCAUACUUUUUAGUGCUCUUUUUAUUCUGCUGAAAUUUUUUUGGCUCCCGUGUCACCCUUUAAAGGAAGGUUUUCGUGACUAUGGACCAGACAUGUUAGUUUACCAGAGAGGUAAGCAAAUUUUGUAUCUGCAUGGGCGUAAUGCUGCAUUGAUCAUGAGUUCAACAGCUAAAAUUGGGAAUUUGAUUCGUUUAACAUAUAUACUGACCAAAUGGUUUGUCGAAGCUUUCAAAACAUAUACUUACAGGAUAUCUUCAUCCAUGAUACAGGUUCUAGAACAGACCCGACAAGUGGGGUAAAAGUGUACAACUAGUUUUGUCAAAGAUGCUACUUGCUUCCACUGUUUUGGACAUGAAGUAGUUGAACUGGGAAUUGGAUCGGGUUCAUGGAACUUUUUCUCUUGAGUGCAGUACGUCCCAACGGCUUGUCCAGAUGACCCAGAAGAAUUAAAAUGUGUGCUGCAGUACCUGAAACCUAUGGGCGGCUCCCCAUUUAUGUCCAAG